rnacentral:rRNA from 1 species
AUUGAACGCCGGCGGCAGGCUUAACACAUGCAAGUCGAGCGGGGACUUCGGUCCUAGCGGCGAACGGGUGAGGAAUGCUUGGGAAUCUGCCCAGUAGCGAGGGAUAACGUUUCGAAAGGAGCGCUAAUACCGCAUACGCCCUACGGGGGAAAGGGGGGGAUCUUCGGACCUCUCACUAUUGGAUGAGCCCAAGUCGGAUUAGCUAGUUGGUGGGGUAAAGGCCUACCAAGGCGACGAUCCGUAGCUGGUCUGAGAGGAUGAUCAGCCACACUGGAACUGAGACACGGUCCAGACUCCUACGGGAGGCAGCAGUGGGGAAUAUUGGACAAUGGGCGAAAGCCUGAUCCAGCCAUGCCGCGAGUGUGAAGAAGGCCUUCGGGUUGUAAAGCACUUUAAGCGAGGAGGAAUGGCUCUGGGUUAAUACCCUUGAGCAGUGACGUUACUCGCAGAAUAAGCACCGGCUAACUCUGUGCCAGCCGCCGCGGUAAAAC